ACUGGUGUCAGCCGCCGCGGUAAUACCAGCUCUCCGAGUGGUAGGGAUGAUUAUUGGGCUUAAAGCGUUCGUAGCCGGCCUGGCAAGUCUCUCGUUAAAUUCAGCGACCUAAUCGUUGAGCCGCGGGAGAUACUACUAGGCUAGGAGGCGGGAGAGGCCGACGGUAUUCUCGGGGUAGGGGUGAAAUCCUAUAAUCCCGGGAGGACCACCAGUGGCGAAGGCUGUCGGCUAGAACGCGCUCGACGGUGAGGGACGAAAGCUGGGGGAGCGAACCGGAUUAGAUACCCGGGUAGUCCCAGCUGUAAACGAUGCGGGCUAGGUGUUGGGGUGGCUACGAGCCACUUCAGUGCCGCAGGGAAGCCAUUAA
rnacentral:rRNA from 1 species